GAAGCCUUUAUACUAGGUGCUUCCAAUCAGUGCUGGAUGUGAAUGACCUAGAGUUGAUUCGAGCUUAGUUUUGGAUCCUGCCCGAGUAUCAACUAGAAGCCCCAGGACCAAAUGGUCGGAUCUAUGACCCUCUCUCAAAUCAACUCGAGCUCUACGAGGAGUCCUUUUGGGCUGGGCUUAGGCUUCUUCUUCACCCAUUUUUCAUAUCCCUUUUUUAUUUUCUUGACAUGUCAUUG
rnacentral:lncRNA from 1 species